rnacentral:snoRNA from 1 species
AGCACUUGCGUGUUUUGUUUAGCUUGUGGACAAAGAUUUAUAGACAGGCACAAAAUCAAAAAAAAUCAUGUUUUGUAACCCAGAAUUCAUCGUUUGCAGGAGUUUUGAUACAUAAAGAAGGAAUAUA